UCUCCUGUAGCUCAGUGGUAGCCGAGAGCGUCCGACCGGUGUGCGGAAGGUCAUAGGUUCGACAACUGUUGGGAGAA